GGGGCAGGGAUUUGUCGGUUUUUCAGUGGGAUGUGGUGAACAGGGCUGUUCACGCUGCUGCUAGAGGAGGAAACAUGGAGAUGUUGAGGGUGCUGUUGGGAGGCUGCUUGGAUGUGUUGGCAUACAGAGAUGCGCAAGGGUCUACUGUCUUACAUGCUGCCGCGGGGCGAGGGCAGGUUGAGGUGGUUAAGGAUCUAGUGACAUCUUUCGACAUGAUAAACUCAAGAGACAAUCACGGGAACACCUCACUCCACAUUGCAGCCUUUCGAGGUCAUUUGGCAGUUGUUGAUGCCCUCCUUCGAGCAUCUCCCCCUUCCGCAUCUCUGACAAAUAAUACGGGCAACACUUUUCUCCACAUGGCCGUGGCGGGGUUCAGAACUCCCGGGUUCCGUAGGCUCGACAGACAGAUGGAGCUCAUCAAGCAGCUGAUUCGUGGGACUAUCGUUAAUAUCCAAGUGAUCGUCAACUUCAGAAAUAAUUAUGGGAAAACCGUACUUCACUUGGCGGUGACCGGUAACGUCCACCCAGAUCUCGUUGAACUCCUGAUGACGAUUCCGUCGAUUGACCUAAACAUCCGAGAUGCCGAUGGUAUGACUCCGCUCGAUCUGCUUAGCCAGCGACCACGAACAGGAUCAUCCGAGAUACUUAUCAAACAGUUGAAAUCUGCUGGUGGGUGGACAUCCAAUUUGGAAUACCACAUCUCAAGAUCAGCCACCCCAAAAAUGCAAUGCAUCGGAAACAGCCCAGGAACUUCCUUCAAGAUACCCGAUACUGAAAUUUUCCUAUAUACAGGAAUCGUGGCGCCAGAAGACAGUCGAAGGUCCAGCUCGUGCUCGAGCACUGGCAAAAACGAAAUCACGCAUCAUGAGGCAUCCAACGAGAACCAUGAAUCAUUUUCAUCGGAUAAGAAGCAAAAUUCCAUAAACAGAGCAGUCAGACGCCUCAAGGCUCUACUAGGGUGGCCUCGUCGUAAGGAGAAAAAGAAUGGAACACCGAAGAAGCUAGGAGAUGGUGAUUCGAUGGAGUCACUCAAGAAGUGGAGUGAGCGUGAGGAUACCCCAACUCCCCUCAGGCAGAGAUUCUCCAGGCAGCCUUCGAUUCUGAACAAUAAGCGAACUCUCUCGGUCAGGAACUCUAUGCCAAGUCCCGCUACGAAGAAGAAGUUCACAGCGGGGCUAAUGCACGGGGUCAUCCAAGCGAUGCCACAUCUCGCUUCUUCAGCCCGUACACCCUCGAGCGAUUUUUCGAAAUCUUCGAUGUCAUCACCCGUAUCAGAGAAGCAGACUGCUGUGUGUUCAGAAAACGAGAAUGGUGGUGCCUCAUGCUCGAACUCAUCGAUUAAAGGUUGUGAAGUGGGCACCAUACCGCAUAAGUCUGGCUUUGCCAAUAGCAGGCUGAUGAAUCAGUAUUUCUGUUUCGGGGCGCAAGGAGUGAGAGUAGGAGAUUCGAUCAGGGGAUGUCGAUCGACUCUGUCGCUCAAGCGAUCGGCUCUUUCAGUGGCUUGAUGGUUCAGUAUCAUAUAUCGGAUUAAGAUUACAUGAGUAUGUAGCUGUGUGCGCGAUGAUUUAGCUAGCGAUGUCU
rnacentral:misc_RNA from 1 species